rnacentral:RNase_P_RNA from 1 species
AGAGCCGAUCGUACGGUUGCUAUAUAUAAAUAUAGAGGAAAGUCCGGGCUCCUAUGGGCAAGAGUGCCAGGUAAUACCUGGGGGAUGCGAAUCCACGGAAAGUGCUACAGAAAAGAACCGCCUUAAUAUUAAGGUAAGGGUGAAAAGGUAAGGUAAGAGCUUACCACGUAUCGAGGUAACUCAUACGGUUAAGUAAACCCCACUCGGAGCAAGGCAAAUUUAUAGCAUAUGUUUACCCAUGACUUGCUAUGUGGUUGCUGCUUGAGGUAUAUGGUGACAUAUAUCCUAGAUAAAUAACUGUACUUUGACAGAACCCGGCUUAUAGAUCGACUCUCUCA